GACGAACGCUGGCGGCAUGCCUAAUACAUGCAAGUCGAGCGGGCCUCCGGAGGUGCUUGCACCUCCGGAAGGCCAGCGGCGGACGGGUGAGUAACACGUGGGCAACCUGCCUUUGAGGCCGGGAUAACACCGGGAAACCGGUGCUAAUACCGGAUACGUCCUCUUUCGCGCCUGCGAGAGGGGAGAAAGACGGUCUUUAAGGCCGUCGCUCAAAGAGGGGCCCGCGGCGCAUUAGCUGGUUGGUGGGGUAAGGGCCUACCAAGGCGACGAUGCGGUGCCGACCUGAGAGGGUGAUCGGCCACACUGGGACUGAGACACGGCCCAGACUCCUGCGGGAGGCAGCAGUAGGGAAUCAUCCGCAAUGGGCGAAAGCCUGACGGUGCAACGCCGCGUGAGUGAGGAAGGUUUUCGGAUCGUAAAGCUCUGUUGUGAGGGAAGAACAGCUUCCGGAGGAAAUGCCGGAGGUUUGCCGGUACCUCACCAGAAAGCCCCGGCUAACUACGUGCCAGCCGCCGCGGUAA
rnacentral:rRNA from 1 species